UCCUGUAGACAAUUUUUCUUAUUGACUUUGAAUAUUUCAGUGGAGAAACUAAUUAUACUGGAUUGAUUUUUCUUCAGUCAUUAUAAUUUAUGGACAAUUCUCUCUCUCUGUCGUUCUCACUCUUGUGUUUGUUAGUACAACAUAACAUUCUAGUAGAUAGUCAUCUGUAGUGACCCUUUCUGUGUCUGCCAGAGCCCUGGAGCAGGAUGUAGGGUCUUUUGUUCUUUAAAAAAAAAAUUUUUUUUAAUGCCAAAUACCAGGCUGAUAGAAUGCUUGCUUAGCACUCAUGAGGCCCUAUGUUCUAUUUUCAGCACUGUCCUCCCAC